GAUGAACGCUGGCGGCGUGCCUAAUACAUGCAAGUCGAACGAAGAUCUAGCUUGCUAGAUCUUAGUGGCGAACGGGUGAGUAAUACAUAAAUAAUCUGCCCAUAUGACUGGGAUAACUAUUGGAAACGAUAGCUAAUACCGGAUAGGUUGAUUGGAGGCAUCUCUGAUUAAUUAAAGUAGGAUUUCUACACAAAUGGAUGAGUUUAUGGCGCAUUAGUUAGUUGGUGGGGUAACGGCCGACCAAGACGAUGAUGCGUAGCCGACCUGGGAGGGUGACCAGCCACACUGGGACUGAGACACGGGCCAGACUCCUACGGGAGGCAGCAGUAGGGAAGUUUCGGCAAUGGGCGCAAGCCUGACCGAGCAACGCCGCGUGAGUGAUUAAGGCCUUCGGGUUGUAAAGCUCUGUUGUAAGGGAAGAACAUUCAGGAUAGGAAAUGAUCUUGAACUGACGGUACCUUACCAGAAAGCCACGGCUAACUACGUGCCAGCCGCCGCGGUAA
rnacentral:rRNA from 1 species